AUGGUUUCCAGGCUUCUCAGUUUAGUGUCCCUUUGUCUCCUGGGAGCAAAGCACAUAGAAGCUGGAGUUACUCAGUUCCCCAGCCACAGCGUAAUAGAGAAGGGCCAGACUGUGACUCUGAGAUGUGACCCAAUUUCUGGACAUGAUAAUCUUUAUUGGUAUCGACGUGUUAUGGGAAAAGAAAUAAAAUUUCUGUUACAUUUUGUGAAAGAGUCUAAACAGGAUGAGUCCGGUAUGCCCAACAAUCGAUUCUUAGCUGAAAGGACUGGAGGGACGUAUUCUACUCUGAAGGUGCAGCCUGCAGAACUGGAGGAUUCUGGAGUUUAUUUCUGUGCCAGCAGCCAAGA